UACGUAGGUGGCAAGCGUUGUUCGGAAUUACUGGGCGUAAAGCGUGCGUAGGUGGUUUGUUAAGUCUGAUGUGAAAGCCCUGGGCUCAACCUGGGAAUUGCAUUGGAUACUGGCAGGCUAGAGUGCGGUAGAGGGUAGUGGAAUUCCCGGUGUAGCAGUGAAAUGCGUAGAGAUCGGGAGGAACAUCUGUGGCGAAGGCGACUACCUGGACCAGCACUGACACUGAGGCACGAAAGCGUGGGGAGCAAACAGG
rnacentral:rRNA from 1 species